AUUGAACGCUGGCGGCAGGCUUAACACAUACAAGUCGAGCGGAGUGAUGGUGCUUGCACUAUCACUUAGCGGCGGACGGGUGAGUAAUGCUUAGGAAUCUGCCUAUUAGUGGGGGACAACAUCUCGAAAGGGAUGCUAAUACCGCAUACGUCCGACGGGAGAAAGCAGGGGAUCACUUGUGAUCUUUCGCUAAUAGAUGAGCCUAAGUCGGAUUAGCUAGUUGGUGGGGUAAAGGCAUACCAAGGAGACGAUCUGUAGCGGGUAUGAGAGGAUGAGCCGCCACACUGGGACUGAGACACGGCCCAGACUCCUACGGGAGGCAGCAGUGGGAAAUAUGGGACAAUGGGGGGAACCCUGAUCCAGCCAUGCCGCGUGUGUGAAGAAGGCCUUAUGGUUGUAAAGCACUUUAAGCGAGGAGGAGGCUCUUUUGGUUAAUACCCAAGAUGAGUGGACGUUACUCGCAGAAUAAGCACCGGCUAACUCUGUGCCAGCCGCCGCCGUAA
rnacentral:rRNA from 1 species